rnacentral:lncRNA from 1 species
UUAUGAGAGAGGUAUCUAAAAUUACCUAUUCAUUCUAUAUUCUUCAAGCCAAACUAGAUUUCUUAUGUGUGAACUUUUGGCUGAAGAAGGUCCUCUCUCUUGUUUGCAUGUGAAUGUUUAUUGUAUCUUAUAUGAAGGUGUCCUUCAAGUUAAAAUCUCUCAUUUUCUUGCUUAAGGAUCCUGCAUUAUUAACAAACUCCUUUUCUUUCUUGAAAGAAAGUCAUUAGUUUCUUCAAGAUACAAAUCAUUCAUCCAACAUAUUUUUAACUAGAUGACUCAAUAUAAGACAUGACAAUAGUUGAAUAUUGAGUCACUUUACUCAAGAGAUUGCCUAAAUAUAAGCAAG